AGUAGGCCCCGCCCCUCUGCUCUGAUUGGUCAUGAUCAGGUUCACAGUCUGCUUGUGAUUGGCUAGUCUGAAUAAGGUAAAAAUAUGCACUUACUGGAG